rnacentral:rRNA from 1 species
GUAGGUGGCAAGCGUUGUCCGGAAUUAUUGGGCGUAAAGCGCGCGCAGGCGGUCCUUUAAGUCUGAUGUGAAAGCCCACGGCUCAACCGUGGAGGGUCAUUGGAAACUGGGGGGACUUGAGUACAGAAGAGGAAAGCGGAAUUCCAAGUGUAGCGGUGAAAUGCGUAGAGAUUUGGAGGAACACCAGUGGCGAAGGCGGCUUUCUGGUCUGUAACUGACGCUGAGGCGCGAAAGCGUGGGGAGCAAACAGGAUUAGAUACCCUGGUAGUCCACGCCGUAAACGAUGAGUGCUAAGUGUUAGGGGGUUUCCCGCCCCCCUUAGUGCUGCAGCUAACGCAUUAAGCACUCCGCCUGGGGGAGUACGGCCGCAAGGCUG